rnacentral:rRNA from 1 species
GGGACACGUGGUAUCCUGUCUGAAUAUGGGGGGACCAUCCUCCAAGGCUAAAUACUCCUGACUGACCGAUAGUGAACCAGUACCGUGAGGGAAAGGCGAAAAGAACCCCGGCGAGGGGAGUGAAAAAGAACCUGAAACCGUGUACGUACAAGCAGUGGGAGCACGCUUAGGCGUGUGACUGCGUACCUUUUGUAUAAUGGGUCAGCGACUUAUAUUCUGUAGCAAGGUUAACCGAAUAGGGGAGCCGAAGGGAAACCGAGUCUUAACUGGGCGUUAAGUUGCAGGGUAUAGACCCGAAACCCGGUGAUCUAGCCAUGGGCAGGUUGAAGGUUGGGUAACACUAACUGGAGGACCGAACCGACUAAUGUUGAAAAAUUAGCGGAUGACUUGUGGCUGGGGGUGAAAGGCCAAUCAAACCGGGAGAUAGCUGGUUCUCCCCGAAAGCUAUUUAGGUAGCGCCUCGUGAAUUCAUCUCCGGGGGUAGAGCACUGUUUCGGCAAGGGGGUCAUCCCGACUUACCAACCCGAUGCAAACUGCGAAUACCGGAGAAUGUUAUCACGGGAGACACACGGCGGGUGCUAACGUCCGUCGUGAAGAGGGAAACAACCCAGACCGCCAGCUAAGGUCCCAAAGUCAUGGUUAAGUGGGAAACGAUGUGGGAAGGCCCAGACAGCCAGGAUGUUGGCUUAGAAGCAGCCAUCAUUUAAAGAAAGCGUAAUAGCUCACUGGUCGAGUCGGCCUGCGCGGAAGAUGUAACGGGGCUAAACCAUGCACCGAAGCUGCGGCAGCGACGCUGAUGCGUUGUUGGGUAGGGGAGCGUUCUGUAAGCCUGUGAAGGUGUGCUGUGAGGCAUGCUGGAGGUAUCAGAAGUGCGAAUGCUGACAUAAGUAACGAUAAAGCGGGUGAAAAGCCCGCUCGCCGGAAGACCAAGGGUUCCUGUCCAACGUUAAUCGGGGCAGGGUGAGUCGACCCCUAAGGCGAGGCCGAAAGGCGUAGUCGAUGGGAAACAGGUUAAUAUUCCUGUACUUGGUGUUACUGCGAAGGGGGGACGGAGAAGGCUAUGUUGGCCGGGCGACGGUUGUCCCGGUUUAAGCGUGUAGGCUGGUUUUCCAGGCAAAUCCGGAAAAUCAAGGCUGAGGCGUGAUGACGAGGCACUACGGUGCUGAAGCAACAAAUGCCCUGCUUCCAGGAAAAGCCUCUAAGCAUCAGGUAACAUCAAAUCGUACCCCAAACCGACACAGGUGGUCAGGUAGAGAAUACCAAGGCGCUUGAGAGAACUCGGGUGAAGGAACUAGGCAAAAUGGUGCCGUAACUUCGGGAGAAGGCACGCUGAUAUGUAGGUGAAGUCCCUCGCGGAUGGAGCUGAAAUCAGUCGAAGAUACCAGCUGGCUGCAACUGUUUAUUAAAAACACAGCACUGUGCAAACACGAAAGUGGACGUAUACGGUGUGACGCCUGCCCGGUGCCGGAAGGUUAAUUGAUGGGGUCAGCGCAAGCGAAGCUCUUGAUCGAAGCCCCGGUAAACGGCGGCCGUAACUAUAACGGUCCUAAGGUAGCGAAAUUCCUUGUCGGGUAAGUUCCGACCUGCACGAAUGGCGUAAUGAUGGCCAGGCUGUCUCCACCCGAGACUCAGUGAAAUUGAACUCGCUGUGAAGAUGCAGUGUACCCGCGGCAAGACGGAAAGACCCCGUGAACCUUUACUAUAGCUUGACACUGAACAUUGAGCCUUGAUGUGUAGGAUAGGUGGGAGGCUUUGAAGUGUGGACGCCAGUCUGCAUGGAGCCGACCUUGAAAUACCACCCUUUAAUGUUUGAUGUUCUAACGUUGACCCGUAAUCCGGGUUGCGGACAGUGUCUGGUGGGUAGUUUGACUGGGGCGGUCUCCUCCUAAAGAGUAACGGAGGAGCACGAAGGUUGGCUAAUCCUGGUCGGACAUCAGGAGGUUAGUGCAAUGGCAUAAGCCAGCUUGACUGCGAGCGUGACGGCGCGAGCAGGUGCGAAAGCAGGUCAUAGUGAUCCGGUGGUUCUGAAUGGAAGGGCCAUCGCUCAACGGAUAAAAGGUACUCCGGGGAUAACAGGCUGAUACCGCCCAAGAGUUCAUAUCGACGGCGGUGUUUGGCACCUCGAUGUCGGCUCAUCACAUCCUGGGGCUGAAGUAGGUCCCAAGGGUAUGGCUGUUCGCCAUUUAAAGUGGUACGCGAGCUGGGUUUAGAACGUCGUGAGACAGUUCGGUCCCUAUCUGCCGUGGGCGCUGGAGAACUGAGGGGGGCUGCUCCUAGUACGAGAGGACCGGAGUGGACGCAUCACUGGUGUUCGGGUUGUCAUGCCAAUGGCACUGCCCGGUAGCUAAAUGCGGAAGAGAUAAGUGCUGAAAGCAUCUAAGCACGAAACUUGCCCCGAGAUGAGUUCUCCCUGACUCCUUGAGAGUCCUGAAGGAACGUUGAAGACGACGACGUUGAUAGGCCGGGUGUGUAAGCGCAGCGAUGCGUUGAGCUAACCGGUACUAAUGAACCGUGAGGCUUAACCUUACAACGCCGAAGGUGUUU